rnacentral:snRNA from 1 species
GUACUCCCUUUGGCAGCACGUAUAGUAAAAUUGGAAUGAUACACAGAGGAGGCUCGCAUGGGCCCUGUGCGAGGAUGACAUGUAAGUUGAGAGGGAGGAUUAAAUAAAAU